AAUGCACCAAUUUGUAAGUCGCUCUGGAUAAGAGCAUCUGCUAAAUGACUAAAA
rfam:Salmo salar isolate Sally breed double haploid chromosome ssa09, whole genome shotgun sequence.